AAAUUGAAGAGUUUGAUCAUGGCUCAGAUUGAACGCUGGCGGCAGGCCUAACACAUGCAAGUCGAACGGUAACAGGAAGAAGCUUGCUUCUUUGCUGACGAGUGGCGGACGGGUGAGUAAUGUCUGGGAAACUGCCUGAUGGAGGGGGAUAACUACUGGAAACGGUAGCUAAUACCGCAUAACGUCGCAAGACCAAAGAGGGGGACCUUCGGGCCUCUUGCCAUCGGAUGUGCCCAGAUGGGAUUAGCUAGUAGGUGGGGUAACGGCUCACCUAGGCGACGAUCCCUAGCUGGUCUGAGAGGAUGACCAGCCACACUGGAACUGAGACACGGUCCAGACUCCUACGGGAGGCAGCAGUGGGGAAUAUUGCACAAUGGGCGCAAGCCUGAUGCAGCCAUGCCGCGUGUAUGAAGAAGGCCUUCGGGUUGUAAAGUACUUUCAGCGGGGAGGAAGGGAGUAAAGUUAAUACCUUUGCUCAUUGACGUUACCCGCAGAAGAAGCACCGGCUAACUCCGUGCCAGCAGCCGCGGUAAUACGGAGGGUGCAAGCGUUAAUCGGAAUUACUGGGCGUAAAGCGCACGCAGGCGGUUUGUUAAGUCAGAUGUGAAAUCCCCGGGCUCAACCGGGAACUGCAUCUGAUACUGGCAAGCUUGAGUCUCGUAGAGGGGGUAGAAUUCAGGUGUAGCGGUGAAAUGCGUAGAGAUCUGGAGGAAUACCGGUGGCGAAGGCGGCCCCUGGACGAAGACUGACGCUCAGGUGCGAAAGCGUGGGGAGCAAACAGGAUUAGAUACCUGGUAGUCCACGCCGUAAACGAUGUCGACUUGGAGGUUGUGCCCUUGAGGCGUGGCUUCCGGAGCUAACGCGUUAAGUCGACCGCCUGGGGAGUACGGCCGCAAGGUUAAAACUCAAAUGAAUUGACGGGGGCCCGCACAAGCGGUGGAGCAUGUGGUUUAAUUCGAUGCAACGCGAAGAACCUUACCUGGUCUUGACAUCCACGGAAGUUUUCAGAGAUGAGAAUGUGCCUUCGGGAACCGUGAGACAGGUGCUGCAUGGCUGUCGUCAGCUCGUGUUGUGAAAUGUUGGGUUAAGUCCCGCAACGAGCGCAACCCUUAUCCUUUGUUGCCAGCGGUCCGGCCGGGAACUCAAAGGAGACUGCCAGUGAUAAACUGGAGGAAGGUGGGGAUGACGUCAAGUCAUCAUGGCCCUUACGACCAGGGCUACACACGUGCUACAAUGGCGCAUACAAAGAGAAGCGACCUCGCGAGAGCAAGCGGACCUCAUAAAGUGCGUCGUAGUCCGGAUUGGAGUCUGCAACUCGACUCCAUGAAGUCGGAAUCGCUAGUAAUCGUGGAUCAGAAUGCCACGGUGAAUACGUUCCCGGGCCUUGUACACACCGCCCGUCACACCAUGGGAGUGGGUUGCAAAAGAAGUAGGUAGCUUAACCUUCGGGAGGGCGCUUACCACUUUGUGAUUCAUGACUGGGGUGAAGUCGUAACAAGGUAACCGUAGGGGAACCUGCGGUUGGAUCACCUCCUUA
rnacentral:rRNA from 1 species